rfam:Spinacia oleracea cultivar SynViroflay scaffold17661.con0002.1, whole genome shotgun sequence.
UGAGAGGAUGAAUGUGCACUGGGCUCUGAUUCUUGAUGCAUAUUGCUGGCCUAGAAAACCUUUUCUGAUCA